UACGAAGGGGGCUAGCGUUGCUCGGAAUCACUGGGCGUAAAGGGUGCGUAGGCGGGUCUUUAAGUCAGGGGUGAAAUCCUGGAGCUCAACUCCAGAACUGCCUUUGAUACUGAGGAUCUUGAGUUCGGGAGAGGUGAGUGGAGCUGCGAGUGUAGAGGUGAAAUUCGUAGAUAUUCGCAAGAACACCAGUGGCGAAGGCGGCUCACUGGCCCGAUACUGACGCUGAGGCACGAAAGCGUGGGGAGCAAACAGG
rnacentral:rRNA from 1 species